rnacentral:misc_RNA from 1 species
UACGGAGGGGGUUAGCGUUGUUCGGAAUUACUGGGCGUAAAGCGCACGUAGGCGGACUAUUAAGUCAGGGGUGAAAUCCCACGGCUCAACCGUGGAACUGCCUUUGAUACUGGUAGUCUAGAGUUCUGGAGAGGUGAGUGGAAUUCCGAGUGUAGAGGUGAAAUUCGUAGAUAUUCGGAGGAACACCAGUGGCGAAGGCGGCUCACUGGCCAGAUACUGACGCUGAGGUGCGAAAGCGUGCGGAGCAAACAGG